UCCCUGGUGGCUCAGUGGUAAAGAAUCUGCCUGCCAAUGCAGGAGACACAGGUUUAAUUCCUGGUCAAGGAA
rnacentral:tRNA from 1 species